GCCCAGGUAGCUCAUCCAGUAGAGCAUGAGUCUCUUAAACUCAGGGUCAUGGGUUUGAGACCCACAUUGGGAA
rnacentral:tRNA from 1 species